ACAGAGGGUGGAGAGUGACCAGCAGCCAGCCCAGAGCUCCCCAGGCCCCUGUGCAGCUUUGGCCAUGUCCACUGACAUCUGGCUCCCACGGCCUUCCCCGCCUCCCUUGCAGUGCCCAUUUCCCAGAGGCAGAAGGGGAUCCCAGCACACCCUGAAAAAUGUUCUCAUCUGUGCUCCGUUCUAGAUGAGGUUCCUGGGAAGGCUUCUCCAUUAGAUUGGCUGCGUAAAGUUUUGAAGCCUUCUGGGCCUCCUUCAGGUGUGUCUGCAGGGAGGACUUUUCCUGCACCUUUUCUGGUUGCUGCACACAAGCCCAGCUCCCAUCGCAGGGGUCCUCCAAAAGGAAAGUCCGAAGAUUCUGGAGGCAAAAAGCCUCUUGGCUCAAAUGAAUUCCUGAGACAAACACAGAAGGAAGCACAGGCAGGACAAGGUGGGUGCAUUUCCCUCUGCCUUCCCCUGGGACUCAGCAGCCGGGGGCUUUGGCUGCACCUCUGGACACGCCGUGCCCGGCACAGCGGGAAGGGAUCCAUGGCAGCCUGGCUGCCCCGCUGCUGCUUUCACGGCCUGCAGGGCUGCUUCCCAGCCUGGCCUGGCUGCAGCUUCUGGCCAGCCUCUGCAGGAAGGCAUUUGGCAUCAGCUGACAGCCAGCACAA